AUGCAGAUUUAUUCGGAGGGAAAAUAAACACACGUGGUGGACAAGCUGACGGCUGUUGGGACUAUUUUCGAGUCACGUUUAUCCGCUAAUUUCGCAUACUGGAAUAUUAUGUCCUUUCUGGAAAAGGACCAAAAUCGACAAAGGUUUAUUCUCGAACUCGUAAAUUCUAACAACUCGUUCGAGGCACGAUGAAUCCGUCUAUUCUUUACACUCCCACAUCUUUAUCCACAUCGAUCUUUAUCCACUCGAUUCGUCUCUUCAUCUUUUAAUAAACAAUUAACAACGUGGAAGAAAAGGAACGCAAAAGGAACGAAAAGAGGGAGCCUCGAUCAAGAUCGUAUCGUUCGGAUCCAAGAAUUUACGACACGCGAUUGUUUAGAAAUCGUGAAGAGAAGCGCGGAUAUCCUCCACGUGGAGGAGUCGCGACAAGGCAAAUUGGAUUCGCAUUUGGCGGGACGCCCGUCUACUUUAUCGGCUACGUACGAUACAUCCAUCAAAAUGGUGCCCUCCUGUCCGAAUUAUGAAAGAAAUUCGAAAUGAAAAGAUCUCUGUGAAAGAAAAUUACACAAAGGAUUCUCUUUUUCCAAUUGGCUAGGAAGAAACUUUAUGCCAUCGAGCUUUGAAACUGGAAAGAAUUAGUGAAAAGUUCGAGCAACUUGAGGUUCGAAAGUGAAUUAAUAAAUAUUAUAAUUUCUCCCGAUUUUUCCUACGAUUUCUACGCGUUGAUCCAUUCAAUGAUCAAACAUGGAAUAAAUAAAGUUGAUAAAAACUUUAUAUAACGAAGUUAUCGUUAACAUCCGUUUAUCGAUCCCGGCAAAAAUCGGGAUACAGAUAGAUUUUCUCUUGGAAAAGAAGAGGAGGACCCUGUGUGUUGGAUCGCGUCUGCUAACAUUUUGCAUUUAGAAAAGAGAACAACGCAAUAUCACGACACGUGUAACGUUGUUCCUCGAACGGGAACACAAAAAUCCGAACACGGCGCCGUCAUACACGCGCCGCGUGUACACCCCCCACACUCGACGUACUUUAUUUGUUGACAGAUUUCAAUUUCGGCCGGUGUGUUUACCAGACGUUAACGAGAUCCUAAAGAUAUGUGAAAUUGUUUGGCGCCAGAAAUAAACAGAUUAUGUGUUACGUGUACAGACAAUGUGUAAGAACAACCACGUUGUCUCGUGGAACAUCAAGAGAUUGGAAGUGUUUCUCCAAUUUUUAUUAAAAGAAAAAAUCUAUCUUUGAAUGACAAAUAUGACUUGCAAUAAACUUGUCAAAGAAAUGAAA